GUGGAUCAGACUACCUUGUGCCUGGGAAGCAGCAGUCAGUGCUCUCAUUCACCAAGAAGCUGACUCCUGGCAUCAAUGUUGUUGCUGGAGAUGGUUUCCCUUCAAAGGUCUUCUUCAACGGCGACGAGUGUGCAAUGCCUCAGAGGAUUCCAAUGAGCAAUAGUGGAUUCAGGACCCAUCUCAGCAGUGUCCUCUCACUGGUUUUGGUCCUGGCUGCUUCGGCCUUCGUAUUGCUUCAGCAAUAAUCCUGGCCGUUGCUCCGAUUCUUUCAUUCUUUCAGGUGGUUGGAUCGACGCCAUUUGUAAGAAACCUUUUUGUUUCUGGCGGUUUACUAGAUGCGUAAUGGUUGCUAUGUAGCAGAAUCUGGCAGCAAUUGUGCGGCGAGAUGAACACAUAGGGGGAGGAAACAUUGUUGCAGACUUGCAACAUAGCAUCAGGAUCACUUUCCUGAAUCCUGAUGAUAUUUAUUACUACAUGUUUACAUCAAGAUGAGUGAUAUUGUACAUCUCUGAUUUAAGUUGGUGUAGUUGCCAGGAAUGUCUUAUGUUUAGUUAUGUUAUAUACAAAAUACAUUUUGCCAUCAAACCGUAUGUCUGCUCAUUUUCUGUCUGCUUUUCUGAAGCUAAGCUGCUCUCUUCAGUUUAUUGUCAUACCAUACGAUACAUGGUACUAGUAAUUCUGAAACUGUUGCUCUUGCAAGUGGGAGCAACAUUGGAUGCUUCUUAAUCAGAUCUCUACAGUAUUAAAUACGAACUAAAUGAAUGUUCGUAUGCUUCUUGUAUACAAACUUCAAAACAUGUUUGGAGGAUAACGCUCGAAAUGGCCGUUGGGUUAGCUGGGGACCACAGCUUCAGUGCCAAUGUAAUUUCAAACCAUUUGGCAACUUUGCAAGCCUAUAGUUUUUUUGCAACGUUCAGGUUUCAAACAGCAAGAAGCCUUUCGCUUUCUUGAAAGCAACUUGCAGCUGACAAUCUUAUGCCCUUCUUUAUGAGCAUUGGCCGAAUCAAAGAAACGGACGAUACUGGUAUACAGGAUAGAUAUUGUUUUCUCUAGUAAUCUUAUGACAUCGCACACUUCAGUUAACAGCAACGUCCUUUUGGUUCUGACCAUCUCCUCCAUCCAGAGAGUCCAGACUUGUUCCGAGUUGCAGCUGAGGAGGAGUAGCGUAUUAUCAUCUCUGCACGCAAUAUCAAUGUGUUAUAUGUCCAUGUCAAACCUGAGAUAACAUAACUGGCACGCACGAUCAUGUGUUUGUUUUAUGCUUAUAUGCAUGCAGGAUUGGGGUGGUUUGUUCGUGCCAGGUGGUGGAACGCAACAAACACCGUGUUUUAGAUAUAGACUGCGUUAACCCUGGGGACUACCGAUUGCUGACAUUUUCUAACUGUACAGGCUGUUGAUGUUGUCAAAAGCUGAUGUGUUCAAAACCUACUAUGAUUCUUCACGUGAGAGCUUGUCCACACGGUACCACUGUUUCAUGUUUUAGUCAUCUACUAGUUGUGAAAACAGGAGGCAAUGUAAUUGGGUGGAUUGACAAAAUGAUGUAGCUGCAUUGCUCAGCAAUAUGGAAAUCGAAGGUCCAGCAACCAAAAUGAUCUGGCAUGACGGUACGAAUUUGACGAAGUGAUGUACUGCUAGAUGUAGCCAGGACUGAUGGCACUAACAUGCUGAAAAGUGAUUUGAGGAAUAAAUAUUUUUUUUAUUGAUUCAUUCAUGCGGAGCAUGAUGCUGCAAAUCCUGCGCUACCGUUGGUGCAAGCUGAGCAUCAUUUGGUUGACUUUCUUUUAACACAUGCGGGAUGUUCUGGUUCUAGCUGAUCUUUCUCCUUAAGAACUCAGACGUCCUGGCGUUAAUGCUACGAGUAAACAUAGACUUCUUGAUGGAGUCAAAACCCAGAACAUCCUCCCCAAAAAAAAAGUCCCCUAUGCCGCGAGUUAGAGUCUCAUCGGGUGCUCAUACAAAGUAUUUCCCAAUAAGCCGUUUUGGCUUAUUAGAAAAUAAAAAAUAAUAUAUUUGUUCGUAGCGAUUUAAAAACCAAUAUUAAAAAAAUACGUUGAAAAUAUCUUAAAAUCAAUUUUAAAAUUUAGUUUGAAAAUUUAAAUUUUAGCUUUUACUUUGACUUAUUAGGUCAAGUGAUGGGGUUCACACUGGCCAGUGAUCACAAAUCAAAGUGACGGUGAUGUAAACGUGCUAGGGGCAAUAUUCCACUGGAAACUUCUGAAAGUAGCUGAUUAUGGUCGUUUUGAAAAGUACAGUGUUUGUUAGCUUCUGCUUUUCUCGUUGAUCUUUCCUUCAGCGAGAACGGUAUUUGAUUCUUGAUUUCUAAGUGGACGCAAAGAGAACCAAACUAGAGCAAAUCUCAAGUCAAUGCGAUCUUUGCUAUGCCUCAGCUUUUCCAACAACGAGGAGUCCCACAAUUGCAAAUCGGCAGUCUCCAGUUCUCCACCAAGGUUUAUCUUACCAGCAGCGGAAACUGCCGGUAAAAUUUGGUAAAUUAGUUCGAAUUUAGAUUUGAAAAAAAAAUAAAAAAAUAAAAAAAAUCAUAUAAGUAAUACCGAGUUUGUAGUUCUAUCUGAUAAUAAGGUUCUAUGAAAUGUACUAAGUUAACUCCAUGUAUUGCAGCCGAACUGAAACUGAGACUAAAAUUAGAAAAAAUAGACAGAUGGGCUAGGCCAAUAGUGAACACUAUUCAUGAAGCCCAUUAAAGUCCGCUUGAGGGAAAAAUGUGAUUCCUACUUUAUUUCAAGACGAGCACAUGAUACCAUUCGAACGAGAUACUUUUAUGGAGGCUAACGUCAUCCUGCCCCUACUCCUCGUGCUUGCGUCCUCGCGCCUUGAGCCAGCGCGACAGCAGUAGUAAGGAACAAGGGUCAAGUCGAGAAAAAAGGAGAAUAUGAGAGGAGACGCUGAUGCUUGGUACUUGCUACCUCGCAAGUACUAAUCCUGCCAUCCUGGUACCUAGGGUACUAUGUAUGAUACCUAUUGUACCGCUACGAACGAUAUAUCAUGUAACGUAC
rnacentral:lncRNA from 1 species